UACGGAGGGUGCAAACGUUGCUCGGAAUCAUUGGGCGUAAAGCGAACGUAGGCGGCUUUGUAAGUCGGGUGUGAAAGCCCUCGGCUCAACCGAGGAAGUGCAUUCGAAACUGCAUGGCUAGAGUAUCGGAGAGGAUAGCGGAAUUCCCGGUGUAGAGGUGAAAUUUCGUAGAUAUCGGGAGGAACACCAGUGGCGAAGGCGGCUAUCUGGACGAAUACUGACGCUGAA
rnacentral:rRNA from 1 species